GUCUAUGGCCAUACCUUCCUGAAUGGGACUGAUCUCAUCUGAUCUCGGAAGCUAAGCAGGGUGGGGCCCAGUUAGUAGUUGGAUGAAAGAAAAUUAAUGUAUUACGAAUA
rnacentral:rRNA from 1 species